rnacentral:rRNA from 1 species
UACAGAGGUCUCAAGCGUUGUUCGGAUUCAUUGGGCGUAAAGGGUGUGUAGGUGGCGCCGUAAGUCGGGUGUGAAAUUUCGAGGCUUAACCUCGAAACUGCAUUCGAUACUGCGGUGCUUGAGGACUGGAGAGGAGACUGGAAUUCCACGUGUAGCAGUGAAAUGCGUAGAGAUGUGGAGGAACACCGAUGGCGAAGGCAGCCCCCUGGGUCAACACUGACGCUCAUGCACGAAAGCGUGGGGAGCGAACAGG